GGAAUAGGUUCCAGGGAAAGUUUCCAUGCAAGAACUGCAACUACCUGACGAAACGGGAAGGGUCUGUGACUCAAGCGUAUUCAGCGGCGUGUGUUUAUACUUCAAGAGUUAGAAUGACCGAUACCAAGAGUGGCCCAGCCCUAGGGGGAAAGGGCUUGGCCUCCACGUCUCAGAAAGAGAUGUUUCAGAAAAUGGAGGAAUGGUUCAAAUUCUGAGCCAGUUGCAGAAAGUAGUCCGGUCUGGUUUCAGAUGCACAAACACUCACACGCUGGGUGAGGUGUCUGAAUGUCUACUACUGCAUUACAGAGUGUCAGAAGGCUGAUUAGCCUCGGCACACGGUCUGCUCAGAGUUGCGUCUAGUAGCCAUUGACCGACUGGUGGAAUGGCUCAUGUUCAAAGGAGAGAG